rnacentral:rRNA from 1 species
UAGGGAGUAUUGCUUAAUGGGCGAAAGCCUGAAGCAGCAACGCCGCGUGUGUGAAGAAGGCCUUCGGGUUGUAAAACACUUUUUGAGGGAAUGAGGAAGGACAGUACCCUCAGAAUAAGCCUCGGCUACUACGUGCCAGCAGCCGCGGUAAAACGUAGGAGGCGAGCGUUAUCCGGAUUUACUGGGCGUAAAGCGCGUGCAGGCGGCACGGCAAGUUGGAUGUGAAAGCUCCCGGCUUAACUGGGAGAGGUCGUUCAAAACUGCCGAGCUAGAGUGCGGGAGAGGGAGGUGGAAUUCCGGGUGUAGUGGUGAAAUGCGUAGAUAUCCGGAGGAACACCAGUGGCGAAAGCGGCCUCCUGGUCCGCAACUGACGCUCAGACGCGAAAGCUAGGGUAGCAAACGG